GCCACGACCUGUUACAUCCAGCAACUCAGUAAUCAUCUCAGAGUUCGAUCUCCGUCACCGUUAUACAAGAGUUGUCGAGCUUCUCAUCACAAAAAUCAAUAUUUGUGAUCUCAGUGCAAAGGCUUUGCCGUCAGAAGCUUGGCUAGUCCACUCAUCUCCAACGUCACGAUGCUAUCUUCUUCAAAGUUGCCGACACAUUAAAAAUAAAAAAGAUAAGUUUUCGAACUUUAUAAUAUGACCUACCAGUAUUAGAAGUUGCAUUGCUAAAUAAUCACUGGAUCAUCAUCCUUUUAUUAUAAGCUCCGCCUUGUCUCGUAACGUGUUUAGAAAGCUAAUUGCCUAGCUUUUUCUUUUCGAGAAUAUACAUGUUAAACAUUACUAUACAUACGUAUAUCACGUUUUGACCAUAUUAUUUUUAUGAUCACAGAAAAUCUGAUGAUCUCAUGAUGAGCUCUGUCACUAUGGAGCGUGAAAGACUGAGCCUUCUUGUGGGCAAGCCACCAUGAGCGAGUUUUUCUUUGCAUAGAACUGGGGUCCACAUGAAGGUUAUAGGCCAAGAUCAAGCAUAAGUCAAGUUCGAUCUUGGCAGUUACGUGAUCUCUACCUCGGAUGCUUGUUUCUUCUCCACCUCAAAGACGAGCUCAUAGUCUCCGAAGUGGCACGAGAUAUACGUUCGGUCACGGCACACACGAUCUCAACACGAGAUUUCGGGUCGGCAAUAGUUCGCUCUGAUGGAAUGAGGUGAGAUGGCUACGGGUGUGGCCUAUGAUGAUUGGUCUCGAUGCUGCGUCUCGUCUUCUCCGAUACACAUAUACAUAUGUGAAGACGAAAGUGACACAGGUGAUGAGCAAGCAAGAGAGAUGAGGAACAAGGUGAUGAAGCUGAUGGUGGUGAACGACAAGCCUGAAAACUUCUUUCAGGUUUUCACUUUGACGGCUAGGUUUAGUGAAGGUUCCUAUCGACGAUGAUAAAGAAUACAUUGAAGCUAUUAAAGAAGCAAGUUUUGGUGUUCAGCAAAGUGUCUUCGUCAACUGUUUUGUACAAUGUUGCUUUCAAAUAAUACCAUAACUCCAGAAAACAUAUGGAAUGUUACUUGGAAAAUACUAUCAACAGAUAUAUCAUGCAACGAAAGGAAAAAAAUGGAUGAUACAAAUUUAAAUUUCUCAGAAGAUCAAAUUAAGAGUUUAGCUUUGGCGGAUAUCGAAUCACUCAUGCGUAUCAAUGGAAGCUCCUUGACAAUAUUUAAGAUUUGAAAUGCCUUAUCAAUAAUAUAAUCUCUGUCUAUUGUUAAAUGGUGGCUUUGAUUGCAAUUCUAUUUAUCUUUUAUGUUGUAUUUUAUUAAUAUUAAUUUAAAAUAUGUUAUUAUAAUUAAAUAACAAAGGCAUUUGUGUUCAAUA